UAAGCAAAUCCCAAAAAAGGACGCCCCAGUUCGGAUUGCAGCCUGCAACUCGGCUGCAUGAAGCUGGAAUCGCUAGUAAUCGCGGAUCAGAAUGCCGCGGUGAAUACGUUCCCGGGUCUUGUACACACCGCCCGUCACACCAUGAGAGUUGGAGAUACCCGAAGCCUGUGAGCUAACAAACGAGGCAGCAGUCGAAGGUAGAAUCAAUGAUUGGGGUGAAGUCGUAACAAGGUACC
rnacentral:rRNA from 1 species